rnacentral:lncRNA from 1 species
AGCACCGCCCCGCAGCCUUCCUGGCCCCAGCCCUUCACAGGAGCCUGCUCGGGGAGCCUCGUGGGCGUCAAUGGAGCUGGACGGGGGGCUUCCUCUGCACCCCCAGUGCAGAGGGGACCCCCUCUGUCCCUGACUGUCCCCUCGCCACCACAGCCUGUCUCAUCCAUCUCAGCUCACCACUCCCACCGCCCAGGGGGUCUCCCUGCCAGUCUGAACAGGACCUGCCUCGGAAGCAGAAUCGGAUUCCGCUGACUGGGACAACGUCACGUGACAGCGAGUCCAGCGCCCGGGGCCUGGGAGAACAAAGGCGGCUGACCCGUCACAGGAGCUGCACGGCAAUGCAUCUGAGACCAUGCGGUGUCACCUUCACAGAAGUGCUCUGGCACAGAGACUCCAGCCUUGCCGGCCUCUCGCCUCCCAAGCACAGAAGCCUCCAGAACGCUGCUUCAAGGACAAGCCCAGGAGACCUGCCAUGCUCAUGCGUGUCUUUGGAAACAGGUUCUCUAAAUUUUGCUUGUGGUUUGUUAAAAAAAAAAAAAAAAUCAGAAGUGUAAUCAAAGACUUCAACAAACGAAGCACCAAAACACUUCAGCUUUGAAAUGUAGAAUUGCAAUGACUGGAAACACGGCUCGCAAAGCAAAAGACAUUAAAAUUCAGUCAUCCCUACAGAAGCCGGACAGGAAUUGAUCACAUCCACUAGUGAAGGCUCAGAAAGUGACAAGAUUUCAUUUGGAAAUCGUACCUGUGUCCUUGGGAACAUCCUGAACCUUGGGAAGCAUCAGCUCAUGGAGUUCCUAUUAACUGGAUAAAUUUAUAUUCUAGAUUGAAAUGGAAUGGAAUUAAGUAGGCCCACGGUUUUGCAGCACGUACAUUUGAAGAAUCAUUAAAAAUCAUCAUAGAAACAA